GACGAAGGAGGCUAGCGUUGUUCGGAAUUACUGGGCGUAAAGCGCGCGUAGGCGGUUCUUCAAGUCAGGCGUGAAAGCCCCGGGCUUAACCCGGGAAUAGCGCUUGAUACUGUGGGACUUGAGUCCGGGAGAGGAUAGUGGAAUUCCCAGUGUAGAGGUGAAAUUCGUAGAUAUUGGGAAGAACACCAGUGGCGAAGGCGGCUAUCUGGACCGGUACUGACGCUGAGGCGCGAAAGCGUGGGGAGCAAACAGG
rnacentral:rRNA from 1 species